UACGUAGGGUGCGAGCGUUGUCCGGAUUUAUUGGGCGUAAAGAGCUCGUAGGCGGUUUGUCGCGUCGGCCGUGAAAUCUCCACGCUUAACGUGGAGCGUGCGGUCGAUACGGGCAGACUUGAGUUCGGUAGGGGAGACUGGAAUUCCUGGUGUAGCGGUGAAAUGCGCAGAUAUCAGGAGGAACACCGGUGGCGAAGGCGGGUCUCUGGGCCGAUACUGACGCUGAGGAGCGAAAGCUAGGGGAGCAAACGGG
rnacentral:rRNA from 1 species